AGCUCUUUCUAGCACUUUCUGGCACAUUCCUGUCCAUGUGACUGGCUGACAGGUGGUGCAAGCACUGUUGUGCUAUAAUUCCUUUUUGUAAUGUAAGAAGACGAAGGCCCAGAAUCUAGAAACAUGUGAACCACUCUUCCAUUGAAAUCAAUGUAGCUAGUGCAUGGCUGUGACUUCUGCACCUCAGUUUCCUGCCCUCAAAACAGGGGUAAUAUCACCAUAUUCCCCACUAAGAUAGCUGUGGGGAAUAGCACUUCCAUGUUAAUGAAGCACUGGGAUACCCUCAUCAUGAACUUAGAGAAGUCACUAAGAGAUUAAUCAUAGCUCCUAUUCAGAAAUAA